CAAUAGUGUAUAUUAAAGUUGUUGCAGUUAAAAGCUCGUAGUUGGAUUUCAAGAAACGCAUCUGGGUCACCAGUAUGCUUUCUACCAGUCUUUGACUGUUACUGUGAGAAAAUUAGAGUGUUUCAAGCAGGCAAUUGCAGGAAUACAUUAGCAUGGAAUAACGAAUGGGUCUACAAUUUGGUUGAUUGUAGAUUGCGAUUAAUAGGGACAGUUGGGGCGAUAGUUAUUUAAUUAGUUCAGAGGUGGAAAUUACUUUGGUAGUUAGUUUAAAGUAACUAACGUAAUGCGAAAGACAUUUGUCCAACGGAAGUGUUUUCUAUUAAUUACAAGAAACGAAAAGAAUUGGGGUAGUCAAAGAAUGAUCAGAUACCA
rnacentral:rRNA from 1 species